rnacentral:rRNA from 1 species
CCGGCGCACGGGUGAGUAACGCGUAUGCAACUUACCUAUCAGAGGGGGAUAACCCGGCGAAAGUCGGACUAAUACCGCAUGAAGCAAGGAUCCCGCAUGGGAAUAUUUGCUAAAGAUUCAUCGCUGAUAGAUAGGCAUGCGUUCCAUUAGGCAGUUGGCGGGGUAACGGCCCACCAAACCGACGAUGGAUAGGGGUUCUGAGAGGAAGGUCCCCCACAUUGGUACUGAGACACGGACCAA